CCAUCAGUCAGAAAUAUGCUGGAAGCUGGUCCAAGGAAGUUUCUUGAGUGUUUUCUGCCUACUACAUGAAGUUCGAAACUACUUAGAGAGAACACCGUCUCACAACAUCCACACUUGAUGCCUUCCCGAGUUACUUUGCCCUUACUUGCCUGGCAAUAUACUUUCGCCCUUGACGAGAUGGCGCCAUUAUCUAUUAACCAAGACAGCAUG
rnacentral:lncRNA from 1 species